rnacentral:rRNA from 1 species
UACGUAGGCAGCAAGCGUUGUUCGGAGUUACUGGGCGUAAAGGGUGUGUAGGCGGUUCUUUAAGUUUGGUGUGAAAUCUCCCGGCUCAACUGGGAGGGUGCGCCGAAUACUGAGGGACUAGAGUACGGGAGAGGAAAGUGGAAUUCCUGGUGUAGCGGUGAAAUGCGUAGAUAUCGGAAGGAACAUCAGUGGCGAAAGCGGCUUCCUGGACCAGUACCGACGUUCAGGCACGAAAGCGUGGGGAGCAAACAGG